AUGACAAUGUUUACAUUUUUAUAUUUGGCAUGAAUGAAUUAUUGACUACUGAUAAAUUACCGUGUGUGAUUAUUGCCAGAAACCAGACCUUCUAUGAUCAUUGCCUCACCAAAAAAUUAAAAUCUUCUCAAGUCUGGAAUUGCCUUCUCAAAGCUGUGGAGUCCCUGGCAAGGGCGCUUCUCUGGUGGGAUUAUGCAAGAACAAGCCAAGUGUGAAUGCCAUAGUCUGGAGCAACGAGUCCAAAUCCAAUAAUCCUGUCACAUGCCUUGCCAUGGGAGGAACAGAAAGGUCUUGCUGCUGUCUAUAUCAGAUCAGAUCUAACAUGCAGAUUCCUCUCCCUUUAGGAAAUGACUUGAAGCAGCCCAGAGGGUGCCUGCAAAUGCUCUCUUACUGAAUAAUAAGGGUUCUGGUAUCCCUUUCCAGUAAUACCCUAGAAACGUGGGGUACAAUGGGAAUCUGACCCAAGGGAUUUUCUUUAAAAUAAGAUAUACAAUGUGGCAUUAAGACCACAACAGAUCUCAUCUUAAUAACCUUGAGAAGCCCCAUGAGCUUUGUGACGAGGCCCAGAGGAAGUAGAUAUUGUUGGAGAAGUCAGAGGUCAUCCUUACAUGGGGCCUUGCAGGGACAGCAGCUGCGUUUUCUUGGCAGCCUGACCCCCAGUGGGGGGUGUGGGGCAGCAGCGAGCCCUUUCCUUAAAAGGGCCCUUUUUCCAUCUUAAAUUGAAGUCUUAAACAGUAAGACUUCCCGCUCCACUCAACAUUCUAGAAAGGACCAGAAAUUAUGUUGACUUCUGUGUUCACUUCAGAAAGAGAGAAUUAUUUAUAUUCUUGUCAUCAUAUUUCAACGACCUAAGUUAAACACGAAUCCUCUCUUCCUCAGCAUUCAUUAUUUUGCCAUGAGGCAAUAGGUGCAUUUGGAGGUUCAAGUUUGCAUUUUUUCACAAGAUCGAAAAAGCUCAUAAUGUAAUCGUUGAGUUAAAGACAGGGAAUUUGAGUACCAACAACCAUGGCAACUGCAUCAAAAGGAGGCCACUGGAUUCUACUUCAAAUACGUCCACAUUUCUCGUCACAUCUGUGGUGCAUCGCAGGACUGAAAUCUGUAGCUUUUCAACAUAAUAUGUGUCUAGAUCAAACAAUAUUAAAUAAUCAUUAAAAUCUGCUUUGUUCUUCUUGAAGAGCUGCUCAUAGCU
rnacentral:lncRNA from 1 species